GAUGAAGAACGUAGUGAAAUGCGAUACUUGGUGUGAAUUGCAGAAUCCCGUGAACCAUCGAGUCUUUGAACGCAAGUUGCGCCCGAAGCCAUUAGGCCGAGGGCACGCCUGCCUGGGCGUCACACGUCGUUGCCCCCCCAUCUACUCCUUCGGGAUUGCGGGGGGCGGAUGAUGGCCUCCCGUGCGCCUCGUCGCGCGGUUGGCCUAAAUGCCAAGUCCUCGGCGACGCACGCCACGACAAUCGGUGGUUGCGAAACCUCGGUUGCCUGUCGUGUGCGGUCGUCGCGCAUCGAGGGCUCGAAAAAAUUGCCGGGCUUCGGCUCGACUUUCAACGCGACCCCAGGUCAGGCGGGGUUACCCGCUGAAUUUAAGCAUAUCAAUAGCGGAGGA
rnacentral:misc_RNA from 1 species